rfam:Asian citrus Psyllid, Diaphorina citri - Florida Strain, whole genome shotgun sequence.
UAGCUUAGUUGGUAGUGCGUCUGCCUUGUAAGCACUAGGCCGCGGGUUCGAUUCCCGC